AAGGUAUUCCCUCCAUCCAACAAAAGAUGUCUCAAAUUUGUCAAAAAUUGGAUGUACGUAGACAUGAUUUAGUGUAUAGAUGUAUUCAAAUUUAGUCAAAAUUAAGACAUCUUUUGUUUGGCAGAGGCAGUAUGAU
rnacentral:pre_miRNA from 1 species